AUACUUACCUGGUGCCGGGGCCUUGUUGAUCACCGAGGACGAGCCUUCAGGGCAAGGCGCGGACAUUGCACUGCUCUCUCGCUGACCCCUGCAACUAACUCAAACUGGGGCCGACGGGGCAUGCAAAUUGCUC
rnacentral:snRNA from 1 species